ensembl:ncRNA lncRNA:CR46499 long non-coding RNA:CR46499
AUAAGCCUCGGGAAUCAAGUCUUCUGGAAAACCACAAAAUAUAUAAAUCACGUUCCUUGCCCUCUUGCAAAAUCACCUAGCACCAUGCGUCCGAACUCGACGAGAGCUGACCAAGAAAAGAAAGAAUGCUGGAAUUCCGAUAAGGAACUUUAGAAGUAGGGACUUAUCGAUUGGUCGACCUCAUUAAGGAACAGUUAUAAGAAAUAUCGAUUCCCCGAAAGUUUCGAUAUUCGAAAGCGUCAUUCGUUGGCAUGAUUAUUAGCCUGAUUAGCCUGAUUCUAAUAUUCUAAAAUCUAUUGUAGAGCUUUAAAAACAUCAUCAGAUUCAAAAUUGAAGGUGACUUAGACAAUAAAAAACAAUGAAAAUUACCAUUUUUUAAAUAACGUGGAGUUAGUUGGCCACCCUAAAUUAACCUAUAAUUUUUAAAGGCUUCUUAAUCGGUAUCGCAGCUUUAGGGAGUUGCCAGCUUAAAAUUUGAAUAUUGUACUGAUUUUAACAUUUGUACACAUGUUGUUUACAAACAUUCUGGAUUUUAGAACAUCAAGAUGUACGUUGCAUUUCAUUAAGUUUCCAGCGCCAAGAGGAUGGUGAAUACUGGAGAUCAAAAAGGAGCCCAGCGAAGAGUCAAUAAUCCUAACCAUACUAUUCCAGUUCCUCCGGUGGCAGUUUGUGGCAAAGAUCAGGAAUAAACACACAAGGGAGCUGAAGAAGGAAUCGAAAUCAGUUUGGACAAGUCCAAAUUCUUCCGGAUUUUAAUGGAUCUUCAUGUGUUUUUGAACAGAUUUUCGAACAACCUGGAGGACACUGUGUUCACCCAAGUGGGCACCUUCCUUGCCGCGACACCACCACCACCCACACCGGCGUGACAAGGCAGGCUUCGCUUUCCGCGCCUUUGCAUGCGACAAGUUUGUCACUGUGAUUUAUGCCUGAGAGGAGAGGGUUACACCACCGAACCGACAAGCGGGUGUGGUGGGUGAAUAGUCAAAAAAGCGGGUACACACGGCCGUGCCAGUGGAGAACAAGGGGCGGCAGUCAAAAAGACAGCCGAGCAGAGGAAGCUGAGCCAGUCGGGCGCUGGCAGGCGUCAACAGGAUGCGGAGGACGAAGGAAGGGGUGGAUCGGCGUCGAAUGGCGAGUGGCGGGUGGCGGGUGGCGGAGGAGAAAACGGAUGAGCAGGCGAAGGAGCGAACGGCGGAGGGUUGCGAUUACAGUGUCAUUGGCAGCGUCGACGGCGUCACUUUGCGCACUGCCAAGUGCAGCCACCAGAACCGAAUCCAAUAUCCAAAUCACAGCCACACCACCCAGCCAACGAAACGGGGAAAGAAACGACAAGCAGGGCAGGGGCGAAUACACGCCCAACAGCUACAAUUGAAAAUUUUAUUUCAUUUUUAUGGCUUUUGGAAAUUAAAUUGUUGUCAUCGCAUACAAAAUUAACCAGAGCAGCGGGAUUUGCAUAGCCAGUCAAGAGGUGUGACCUCUAACCCCCACCAUCCAUCAUCCACCAUCUACCAUCUACCAUCUAGCAACUGGCACCCAACAGCCACACGACAUAGUCACCGAUGUUAUUGUUAUAGCCGCUGUAUCUCACCCGCUGGGCCUGCGGUCUUUAACAUUUAGCAAAACAUUUGAUUGCCAUCAGGAUAAUCCCGAGGGGAUGUCCCAGGACGCGAGGAUGUGGGCUGCCAGGAGCUGUUUGAUUGCCCGGGAGGAGUAUCACAUCUCCAUAAAGCUCACAAAGCCCGAGGCCUUAAAUAAAUGUUUAUUUUAAGCAAUAUAGUCAAGCAUUAAAAUGCAAAACUUAAAGACUGUCAACGAACUUUAACAAACGUGCACGAGCCAAAGUCAAGAGUAAAUAAGGCCUGGAAAAGAAAGCUGGGAGAAGCCACUUCGAUGGUCAGCAGCCAAAGUAAAAUCUUAGAUUUCCAACUUUAAGUUUCCCGACAGCCGGAGUCAAUUUGCAAUUAGAUGUUAUCCAAAGGCAAACGGACACCCAGGAAACGGGGAUUUGAACAAGGUCCCGCAUAAAAAACUAAACACACGCAGCAAUCAAUCGAUUAAAAAAGGGCAAAGGAGGAAAAGUUUUGAGCCGUCGGUGGGCGAUGGCACAGACCAGACUAGACGCGGAGGUGAGCGUGGACGAGGCGGACACCACCUAUGGUGUCCAGAUCGAGGUCCUGCCGGAAGGACACCCCAGGGACCCGCAGGCAGCUCAAGGAAGUCGCCUGGCUGGCUUUUGUCUAAUGCGCCGCUUAUCUUGAUAUUAUUUGGCCAUAAAAAAGGACACGGACACAUGGUCGAGGAAUGGGCACGGAUAACACUGGAAGAAACAUUUCACACAGUGAAUAAAAAAAGAGAUCCGCGCAGCGCUCUUUUGGCUUACUGAUUAAAUGCCAAAUGUGCCAGAAUCAUAAUAUAACCGAGACAUCGAGAUGUUCUUAAAAAUCGUUGACAUUCUGCACCCAUUUUCCGGCUGUAACCCAAUCCUCCAGCCAAGUCAUUGUGCUCCUAAGGGCAAGGAAAAUUGCAACAUUUCACAUGUCACAACGAGGGCGAUUUCCCUACCACCCAAAAUAAAAUGGACCAUGUCGAAUCCUGCGGGUUCCGUUGAUUUCCUUGCCCGAAAAAAAAAAAAACCCAGCCACGCGCGUUUCAAAUCCCUUUAGUUACACUGUUUCAAAAUUAAAUAUUUACAUUUUGUAUGCGGAGGCGGAUGCGGCGGUCAUGAGGUCUGAAUCUCGAUUCACAUGUGGGUGUUUUGGCCGGAAUGGUGGUAUCUAGCUACUGGAUACACUGGACAUCUAAUCGGUCGGUGGUGGGCUGCCAGCUCCGUCAGCUGGCCGUGAGCACUUGUCGUGGACAGUGGCGCAGCUGGUCAAGGGGACUUGCCGACUAGCUGGACCCCACCGAGUGACGCCCCUGCCAGUCGCAUAUGAGCUCAGAUCAUCAAUUCCCCGUUGGCCGGAUGGGGUGGUGGCCACCAUGCAGUUUCCGAUGCGCGUUUAUUUAGUAAUUUGUUUGUCUCCCGACUUAGUCACGGUUUAUGGUUGACAUUUAUUUUAUGAGCGUGAAAAAUAUAUCUCUCGCCAGUGGCAGCCACACCACCCAUCGCGGGAUUCCAGGCGGGGUUGCAGGCAGGUGGCUGCACCACCCACUCCACCCACAUGCGCCACUUAAGCCAAUUUUGAUAGCGGCUUAUUGAUGGUCGAGCGACUGGCGAUUUGUGCAUUGGUCUCGCUCGAACUUGCUGAUUGAAUCAGUGCGGUAGUGGGACAAGGACGAGAUCGAUGGGCAGUUCGUGCUCGCUCGUACAAUCUGUACUCCUGGUCAGGCGAGUCGGAUCUUAAUGGCUAGUUCGAGCACUUGAUAUAUGGAAAUGCCGGAUCGACAAGGCAACCAGCGACAGAUAAGAGGAAAUGUCGUCUGAAUUUCUCUACGUUUGGCACUUCCUUAAGCGAGUAUUGUUAACUGCUGCUAAGCCCAUCAAUUAUGCCGGGAGGCAUACCAUCCUUACAAACUUAUUGGCCUAUAAACUAAUCGCAUAAUUGCACAAAAGUAAUUAUCCUUGGGCUGAGCCUCGGCUAGCUCAUUGUGCAGCAACUAUGCGGCACAUCCUAUAUCCUGCAUCCUGAGGCAUUAGUGCUUAGCCCUCAACCCCUGGCGCUCUGAUUUUUCCACCUUGCUGGCCAACUAUGCGGCUCAUCCGCUCCGCUGAACGCCGCCAGAAGGAAGUGCCGUGCAGGACCCAAAUCGCAGGACGCAGGGCUCAGAUCGCUGCAAAACAGUUGAAAAAACACAACGGGCCAAACAACAAAAACAAACACAAGGACAUCUCUUUGUUUGCAGAAAGCGAAAGAGAGGUGAAAUUAAAAUCAAGCUGUUGAUAGCAAUCACACACUCCUGGCUGCCUGAAAUGAAUAAAUCGAGGUGAUGCUGGUGCUGGUGCAUAACAUUGCUCAAUAAGCGGACACCUUGUUGGAUUUUUAUGGAGACCAUGGUGCAGGCACUUCUCGCAGUGGUCAUGUCCUGGCUGUUGUCCCUACAAUUCCGAUGACGUUGCCAAGAGAGUGGGAUGCAUGCAUCACUAGCCGUCACAUGGCCAACUGUUUUGGCUUCCUGCUUUCGACCAAUCUGCGACUGUCAUCCGUCAUUCCAUUUACUGGAUGCUUGCCAUUUCUUUGGCUCCCGAAUCUCCGCCUCUUCAUCUGCAUCUCCUCAAAACAAGAUGGAACCAUGUCAUCUCUGGCUGGCUAAAUGGCUCUACGCAACUGCAACUCUUUCGUUGCCCCAAAUUGGCCUUGAGGCAAUGAUUGGCUGCCGCUGCUGCCCAGAUGCCGGCACUACCCUCCACCCCCCAGAUGGACCACCCCCUUGGGCCACCACAAGAGCCCCAGUCCCCCCGCUUUUUUUGCGUUUCUUUCGCACUGAUCUCAGCUGUCGUCGCUUGUUAGUGCGCACGCGUGUCUUUCUCUCUCUAAGAAGCAGACAGCGCGUGUGUUCCCCUCUCCAUCGCACUCAACGCCCGCCCAGUCACGUCCUCUCACUCACUCCGCCAGCUCUCCCACUCGCACCCAUCACGAUCGUGAGGCGUUGAUGGCGAUGGCGCUGAAGCUGGCGCGCAUGUGCAACGCAGCCACAAAAUCGCAAUUGCCGGGACCAAAAACCAAAAUGAAAAAAAGUACGGAAAAAAAGAGUAACCAAAAGCUUGAGCUGGCACAACGUUGUAAGACAUAGUUUGUUGCCAGAGCCACUCCCCCCCCCCUCCUUCCCCUCCACCACACCGCUGUGCCCCUGUGCCUGUGUGUGCGGGACCUCCCGCAGAUAAUUGCCCAUCAUCUCAUCAAGUUCCGCCCAGCUAUUUAACAACCGAGGAGCAGGAGCUGCAGGAGGAGGUUCGGGGGCCCCGAGAGCAAUGAAACCCACAAAACAAGACACCAAAAUGAUGAACGCGACCACGCAAAGUAGAAGUAGCUGCCCGAUCUGGGAGUCGAGGAAGGAGUCUGGCUCCAGACCAUACAAUCCCGAGGGCCGCUACGUUCAGCAGGAACUUCUCGAGCGGCCUUGGGCUGGCGCCACCAACAUUGAGCAGCAGCUUGGGGCGGCGGCUGCAGAUCGGCUCCAAAUCGCAGCAGUCCAGGUUGCAGCUCCACUGCAACCACAGGCAUCAAUAGCACCACCGACGACGAAAAAGCAGGAGGAGACCAAGAAGAUCCAAGCAUGUUAAUCGAGUCAUAUCGAUUUUGGCGUGGUUCGUGUCUCGGACGUUUUGCCCAACCACCGUCCUUCGCCCCCCCAAAAAGGGGGAGGGUCCGAUCCCAUCAGCGAACUCGUAACUAAAUUGAAUCCAAUUGCAGACGAGUCAGGCCAAAUAACUGUGAGACAUAAUGAAUGAGUGUUGGCCAAAUUGCAACUUGACUUGCCAGCCGGGCAGUUAAGGGUUAAUGGAUGGGCACCAAGGGAUGGCUUGCAGGGGGGGUUCAGAGGAUGGUGCUCUGCAUCUUCCAGUUUAUGGCCCAGCCACUAAUAUCUCAAUUGGCCAGCGGAAGGUUCGAUUAACUGCACCAUUGGGCCACCCACCUGGGGCAUCUGCACUUGGACAUCUGCAUGAAUGCAUCCAUAAGGGCAAAUGAAUCAUUCAUUCUAAAAGAGUGUACAGUAUUCACAGUUUAUUUGAAUCCCCUUCGAGGACGCCUACCCACGCUAUGCAGGACUUAGAGGACACUCCGAUUAUCACCAUCGACGACGAGGUUCUUCACGACGAGGACGACAAGGACAACUCCCAGGUAUCCGCUGAUGGUGGCUAGCAAAUAACAAACCCCAGUGAUAAAGGAAAAAUAAAAUAUACACGAAUUUUC